CUACGGGAGGCAGCAGUGGGGAAUAUUGCACAAUGGGCGAAAGCCUGAUGCAGCGACGCCGCGUGCGGGAUGACGGCCUUCGGGUUGUAAACCGCUUUUGAUUGGGAGCAAGCGAGAGUGAGUGUACCUUUCGAAUAAGCACCGGCUAACUACGUGCCAGCAGCCGCGGUAAUACGUAGGGUGCAAGCGUUAUCCGGAUUUAUUGGGCGUAAAGAGCUCGUAGGCGGUUCGUCGCGUCUGGUGUGAAAGUCCAUCGCUUAACGGUGGAUCGGCGCCGGGUACGGGCGGACUGGAGUGCGGUAGGGGAGACUGGAAUUCCCGGUGUAACGGUGGAAUGUGUAGAUAUCGGGAAGAACACCGAUGGCGAAGGCAGGUCUCUGGGCCGUCACUGACGCUGAGGAGCGAAAGCGUGGGGAGCGAACAGGAUUAGAUACCCUGGUAGUCCACGCCGUAAACGGUGGAUGCUGGAUGUGGGGCCCGUUCCACGGUUCCGUGUCGGAGCUAACGCGUUAAGCAUCCCGCCUGGGGAGUACGGCCGCAAGGCUAAAACUCAAAGAAAUUGACGGGGGNCCGCACAAGCGGCG
rnacentral:rRNA from 1 species